GGGGUUUUCCAUCUAUUACCACCUUUUAUUACACAUUUUGGUUUAAUAUAGUAGUUCUCAAGCCUCAAAGAGUUUUAACAUCUAGUUAACUACUAUCUACCCAGAUUCUUUCCCUUAUCAUGAUGUUCAAAGAUUCAAAGAGUAAUCCAGUAGUUCUUUUCUGUAGUCUGGGGGUGGGAAGGCUAGGGAGGAAGAAUGAUCUGAGAGGUGAGUGGCAGGCAGAGGAGGGCUAGGAAUUAGAUUGAGGUUUUAAAAAUGGGGCGGUAUGCAAUUUUUAGGGUACAAAUGCACGUCAGGAAAGACUACAUCCAUGUGAGAUAGAAAUAUGACCUUAAGAAAUUUUGCCUUGUUUUGUCUUCAAUUUCAUGCUGUUCUCUAUCAGAUAGAGAUACGAAUUUUAUUUUAUUUUUAAAGAUUUAUUUAUUUAUUUAUUUAUUUAUUUAUUUAUUUAUUUAUUUGAGACACGGGGGGGGGGGGCGGGGAGAGAGGCAGAGACCCAGGCAGAGGAAGAAGCAGGCUCUAUGCAGGGAGCCCAAUGAGGGACUCGAUCCUGGGACUCCAGGAUCAUGCCCUGAGCCAAAGGCAGAUGCUCAACCACUGAGCCACCCAGGCAUCCUGAGAUACGAAUUUUAAAUAUAAUGAUUUCACAUGGUCUAAAAGCAACCUUGAAAACUAUAGUGAAAGUCUCUUCCCAUGUCUGUUCCCUUCUUUUUCCCUUGCCCUGUCCUCCUCCUGUAGUGAACUCUUUUUAGUUUCUAGUGUAUCUUUCUGGUACUUCACUCUGCCGAAAGAAAUGCAUCUAUAAUUCCCCAAACUCUGUGCAGAAAAUACAUAUAGCAGACUAUAUAGUCAGUUCAAUAGCUUGCUGUUUUCACUUAUUGUACCCUGGAGAUAAUCCCCUCUCAGUAAAUGCAGGCCUUUUUUAUCCUUGUGUAUGCUCCACAGUAUUUCACUGGGGGAGGUACCAGUGUUUUUAAAUAAUCCUCUAUGUAUGGACAAUUGGCACAUUAAGAAAUUUUAUCAGAGGAGGAGCGGGAGUGGGGGGGUGGGGUGGGGUGGGGAGGAAGAAAUCCUAUCGUGUUUUGAAUAUAUGCAGUGUUACAGGGCCCCGUGUUACCUAUUUUAAUCCUUUCCUUUUUCACUCUUCAUACUCAGUAACUACCACCACGUGACACUUUUACACAUGAUGCUCCCACAGCCCUGAGUCCUCCCCUUAGCUCUGCAAGGGUUCUCUGACUGCCUGUGGAGAUCUCCUUGAGGAUGGUCCAUGGCUGUGCUGUCCACGCCAUGGCCACUAGUUGUGUGCAGUUCUUUACAUUUAAAUUAAUCAAGAUAGAAAUCCGUUCUUUAGUCAGACUAACUACAUUUCAAGUUCUCAGGAACCACAUGUGAGCCGUGCCUGCCACACUGGACGGUGCCGAGGAAGGACGCUUCAUGUGGGCAUUGCUCUAGCUCGCUCGAUAGACUGUUAGUAGCUUGAGAGGCAGGGAUGGUGAUCUUUCUGUUUAUCCUUGGUGCUUUCCCAGCACAGUGCCAAGGACAUAAUCCGUGUUCAAUAAAUGUGGAGUGGAAAAUUGAGUGAUGAGGACACUGGACUCAUGGCCUAAGUGUGCCCAAGGUCACAACCAGCAUGUGCCUGAGCUGUUAUUUGAACCUGGGUUAUUUAGAUAAGGUCAUAAUGCAGGACCUGCGUUAACUUUCAAAAUAUUGAAUGGAUAGUUAUUAUAAAUGAAAACUGUAGCUGAAUAAGGCUGGAGAAAGCUUUUCCUUCCUUUUGAUUUUUUUUUUUUUUUUUCCUGCAAGUCUUGGCUAUCUGAUCCUAAAGAUCCCCUGGGGACCUGAGAAACUCUCACAUGAGAACUGGGUGGGGAAGGCCCCGACCUCUGGCCUCUGGAAAGCAACAGUGUGUUUGGGUCUGUAAAUGUGCCAUAGGAAUUUGCCAGGGUUGCCACAGCAAAAUACCACAGGCUGCGUGGCUUUACCAGAAAUCGACUCCUCAUGGUUCUAUGGGUUGGAAGACAAAGAUCAAGGGGUUGGCAUGUUUGGUUUCUCCUGAGGCCUCAGAUGGCUUGCAGAUGGCUACUUUCUUGUGUCUGCACUGUGUCCUCCUCUGUGUGGGGUCUGUGUCCUUCCUCAUCUCUCUAUACGGGCACCAGUUGGAGAUUAGGGCCCACCCUAAAGACCUCUUUUUAACUUAAUCACCUCUUUAAAGACAUUAUCUCCAAAUCUACUCACACUCUGAAGUACUGGGGAUUAGGACUUCAACAUGUGAAUUUGGGGGAGACACACUUCAGUCCAGCAUCUUCAGAACAGCAUCUACUGUUCCCUAGACAGACGGAGAAUUCAUUCUCUUUCACAUUUCUCUUUGAUGGAGAGACAGCAACACUAAUAUACUUAUCAAAUUACAAGCUGCUUUUAUUCCAUAGAGAAAGAAGGACUCCAAACACCUUUGAUAAAGGUCUGCUUUGUUCUUCAAAGCCAAGAUGCAGCUCAGUUGAUACUGAGAAGUCUUCUUAAGGAGAAGCAAAUAGAAAUCUAGUACAGAGAGGUUAAAGAGGAAAAGGAACCUGGGUCCCAGGGGAUCACAAUCACAGGAGGAGUCAGCCACGUAAUAGUGGAAGGGCAGCAUGCUUUGGAGAUAUCUGAAAAGCAGUAUAGAGGCCUUUUACCUAGCAGCUAAGGGAGGGAUCUUCUCCUUGUCAACUUCUUAUUAAGCCAUUAAAUCCACAGGUGGGUGGCUUCUUAAAAAAAAAAAAAGAUGUGGAGAAAUUAGGAAAGGGUUAGAUAUACAGCUCUAGUCACACUUUUCUCCCCUACUAUAAAAGUAUGAGUCUUUUGUAUACAGAAAGAAGAAUAAAAUGCAGGAAAAUAAAGAAUAACACCCGAAACUAAUGUAACAUUGUGUGUCAACUCUGCUUCAAUUAAAAAAAAAAAAAAAAAAAAAA
rnacentral:lncRNA from 1 species